rnacentral:tRNA from 1 species
GGGGAUUUAGCUCAGAGGCAUAAGCGCCUGCCUUGUAAGUAGGCAGUAGGCAGUCAUGAGUUCAAUCCCCG